GACGAACGCUGGCGGCGUGCUUAACACAUGCAAGUCGAACGCUGAAGCCUAGCUUGCUGGGUGGAUGAGUGGCGAACGGGUGAGUAACACGUGAGUAACCUGCCCUCUUCUUUGGGAUAACGCCCGGAAACGGGUGCUAAUACUGGAUAUUCACUGGCCUUUGCAUGGGGGUUGGUGGAAAGGUUUUUUCUGGUGGGGGAUGGGCUCGCGGCCUAUCAGCUUGUUGGUGGGGUGAUGGCCUACCAAGGCUUUGACGGGUAGCCGGCCUGAGAGGGUGACCGGUCACAUUGGGACUGAGAUACGGCCCAGACUCCUACGGGAGGCAGCAGUGGGGAAUAUUGCACAAUGGGCGAAAGCCUGAUGCAGCGACGCCGCGUGAGGGAUGGAGGCCUUCGGGUUGUAAACCUCUUUCGCUCAUGGUCAAGCCGCAGCUUUGGGUUGUGGUGAGGGUAGUGGGUAAAGAAGCGCCGGCUAACUACGUGCCAGCAGCCGCGGUAAUACGUAGGGCGCGAGCGUUGUCCGGAAUUAUUGGGCGUAAAGGGCUUGUAGGCGGUUGGUCGCGUCUGCCGUGAAAUCCUCUGGCUUAACUGGGGGCGUGCGGUGGGUACGGGCUGACUUGAGUGCGGUAGGGGAGACUGGAACUCCUGGUGUAGCGGUGGAAUGCGCAGAUAUCAGGAAGAACACCGGUGGCGAAGGCGGGUCUCUGGGCCGUUACUGACGCUGAGGAGCGAAAGCGUGGGGAGCGAACAGG
rnacentral:rRNA from 1 species